AGGACAAAUGAAGAUGUUGUGGAGAACUGAUGUCUGUUUUGCCCAUAUGGAAGGCCAGUGGGAACCAAACCUUCGAGCUCCAAAAGGAACAUGAAGUGUAGGGACAAACAGACAUCACAUCUCCAUUAAAUAUUAUCUAUCGCAUCAUCAGAGUUUAAAUCGGCAUAAGGAUACUUUAUUGGAAUAAAUCCAGAAAAGAGGAUCAAAGCUGCAUGGACAAAAGAGGUGUCUAAAAUAACUGCAAAAAACCACAGAAGAAGACCCAAGAUGAUGAAGAACAUCAGUCCAGAAGUAUCUCAUCCUCAACCUUAUGCUGUCUCAAACCAGUAGGACUUUCUCUUGGAGGACAAAUUAAGAUAUUGUCAUAG